CCCGUACACAAAAGCGCAUGUGCUGUGAGCUCGAUGAGUAGGGCGGGACACGUGGUAUCCUGUCUGAAUAUGGGGGGACCAUCCUCCAAGGCUAAAUACUCCUGACUGACCGAUAGUGAACCAGUACCGUGAGGGAAAGGCGAAAAGAACCCCGGCGAGGGGAGUGAAAAAGACCUGAAACCGUGUACGUACAAGCAGUGGGAGCCCCA
rnacentral:rRNA from 1 species